UAAAUUCGCAUAGAAUGAAUGAUAUAAAAAAAACACAAUAUUAACAUGUUGAGAGAAAUAUCAAAAACAAUUUUUAUAACAUUGGCGUGUAAGCCAAAGGAGAUCACGAUUCCCUUAAUUUUUUUAUUAAGCACAACAAAAGCAACAGAAAAAGUCCCAAAAACAACACCAAAAUAAAACGAAACAAGAAAGGAAACCUAAAAAAGCCUAAAAGAAAUUCCAGUGCAAACAGCUCCCGAACAAGAACAAGGAGCCGUUCAGAAAAUCUUUUGGAAAGCACUACCCAUAGCCAAAGAGUCGCUGCCAAAACCAAACAAAAUCAUCUAUGAUAGUGGCUCCAAACCAAUUGAAGGAGGCACCAUCAAGCUGGAAAAGCAAAGAUCCCGACACACAUAGAGAUCCAGAAUCCUGUCCGAGAGUCAAUGAAAACAUCUGCAAACACCAAGAAACCAUCGAGAUUCGAGACUCCCAAGCUUCCCCCAAUAAAACCAGAUCCUGACCGCCGCGAAGCUAACCAGCAUGAGGUCUUAAGGAGGAGGUCGACUCCCCCAAAUACAUACCGCAUCGAUCCGUCUUGUUGGAGCUGAGAGCAACUAACAACAAGUUUCAGCCUAUUGCUUGAGCAGCAAGUGUCGUAACUUGCAGCAGAAACAAGCAAAAAACUAAAAAGAAUAAAGCAAGAAGAAUGGAGAGA
rnacentral:lncRNA from 1 species